rnacentral:rRNA from 1 species
AGAGUUUGAUCCUGGCUCAGAUUGAACGCUAGCGGCAUGCUUAACACAUGCAAGUCGAACGAGAAAGGGGGGCAACCCCCGAGUAUAGUGGCGGACGGGUGAGUAAUGCGUAGGAAUCUACCUCAAUGUGGGGAAUAACCCGGGGAAACUCGGGCUAAUACCGCAUAAUCUCUACGGAGUAAAGGGGCCUUCGGGUCUCGCAUUGAGAUGAGCUUACGUCGGAUUAGCUUGUUGGUAGGGUAAUGGCCUACCAAGGUAAUGAUCCGUAGCUGGUCUGAGAGGACGACCAGCCACACUGGAACUGAGAUACGGUCCAGACUCCUACGGGAGGCAGCAGUGGGGAAUAUUGGACAAUGGGCGAAAGCCUGAUCCAGCAAUGCCGCGUGUGUGAUGAAGGCCUGCGGGUUGUAAAGCACUUUCGAUGGGGAAGAAAAGCUUAGGGCUAAUACCUCUAAGCGCUGACGUUACCCAUAAAAGAAGCACCGGCUAACUCUGUGCCAGCAGCCGCGGUAAGACAGAGGGUGCAAGCGUUAAUCGGAGUUACUGGGCGUAAAGGGCGCGUAGGCGGAUAAGUAAGUCAGAUGUGAAAUCCCUGGGCUUAACCUGGGAACUGCAUUUGAAACUAUUUAUCUAGAGUAUAAGAGAGGAAAGUAGAACUCCCGGUGUAGUGAUAAAAUCCGUAGAUAUCGGGAAGAACACCAGUUGCGUAGGCGGCUUCCUGGCUUAAUACUGACGCUGAGGCGCGAAAGCGUGGGGAGCAAACAGGAUUAGAGACCCUGGUAGUCCACGCUGUAAACGAUGAGAACUAGAUGUUGCCCCCUUGAGGGGUAGUGUCGAAGCUAACGCGUUAAGUUCUCCGCCUGGGGAGUACGGUCGCAAGAUUAAAACUUAAAGGAAUUGACGGGGGCUCGCACAAGCGGUGGAGCAUGUGGUUUAAUUCGCUGCUCCUCGAAGAACCUUACCUACCCUUGACAUCCUUGGAAUCCUCUAGAGAUAGAGGAGUGCCUUCGGGAACCAGGUGACAGGUGCUGCAUGGUUGUCGUCAGCUCGUGUCGUGAGAUGUAGGGUUAAGUCCCAUAACGAGCGCAACCCCUAUCCUUAGUUGCCAACUUUGCUUUGCAAAGAGGAACUCUAAGGAAACUGCCGGUGAUAAACCGGAGGAAGGUGGGGAUGACGUCAAAUCCUCAUGGCCCUUACGGGUAGGGCUACACACGUGCUACAAUGGGGAGUACAGAGGGCUGCUAAGUCGCAAGACUACGCUAAUCCUUAAAACUUCUCGUAGUCCGGAUUGGAGUCUGCAACUCGACUCCAUGAAGCUGGAAUCGCUAGUAAUCGCGAAUCAGCAACGUCGCGGUGAAUACGUUCUCGGGCCUUGUACACACCGCCCGUCAAACCAUGGGAGUGGAUUCUACCAGAAGCGGGUAGCCUAACCUUUUAUUAGGGGGGCGCUCUCCACGGUAGGAUUCAUGACUGGGGUUAAGUCGUAACAAGGUA